UUAGUUUUUAUCUCAAUCAUUCCUCACAGCCUCCUCGGCGCUCCACGAACAUGACAUCGGUGUAACAUAUUUAAUACUAAUAUUGAAAUGAUCAUUUUAAUUGUGUGUUCGAUGGCUUUCGCCUCAUCAUCAGCGAGCACAGCCACCGAGUCUUAUAAAGAUCAAUUCUGCACGGAUCCGCGCACCAUGGAGAAGUACGAGGCGUACACGGAGUGGGCGGACGCCUACUCCUGCUCCCGACACAGGUGCCAGCCCGGGGGGAGGAACCUGGCCAUAUACACUGUAGGAUGUAAGAGAGUGGAGGCGCCGGAGUCAGCCAUAGAAUGCGAGGAGGUGGUGGAGGACACCAACAUGCAGUUCCCGUACUGCUGCACGAGACUGAGAUGUCUGGUGGUGGUCCGCGGUGAGGUGUGGACCAGGGUGUUGGGUCAGCCCUGGGAGACUCUUCCGGCGGCUCCCUGGAGCCACAUGUACAAAAUGAAGAAACCUCCGCCCGCAGACAAUACCUUCGCUAAGUCGGCGGGCCCAGGUCCUAUAUACGAGCUGGCGUCAGAGCCGGAUGCAGGUCCUCACGAGAAGAUGCUGCGUUCCCAGAAACAGGCGACGCCUUCCCCGGACUGUGUGGAAGCCGUACCGAGGGUGGCGCCCUCGCCGGACAUCGUGAUAGCUCUAGCAACAAACAACGAAGAGAAAGAACAUAAGAAAACUAAGAAUACGAGACACAAGAGAGUUAAGAAACUGCCGAACACGUUUGAGGCUGAGACAGACAGGGAACACAAUGAAGUAGAUUUCGAGGACACGCCGCUCCUGGACAAGAAUGUCGAUGGUUCUGAUGAGAAGUCCAGCUCAUACGUCACUCAGAAGAUUGCAGCCAAAUCAUCGUGGACGGACAUCCCUUCAAACCAAUGGACGGAACACGACCCGUCAGCGGACGUGGAAGUUAACCAACCAUCAGAAGAGAAGGAGAAGCCGGCCCUGCAGGCGCUCGUGGACGCGAUCGGUAACAGAAUGAGAGACAUCGAGAGUGUGGUGCAGAGGAUGAGUGAGAAGGUUCACACCGUGGACGAAGUCGGCAGCAGUGAGAGAAGAUCUGAAGCUGAUCCACCUCGAAAACAUCGCAAACAGACGGAGCCCAAGGAACCGAAAGAACCCGCCAAACCAAAGAAACCCAACUCAGACAAUGACAACUAUAAAAGGUUCUCAGUGAAGAAUCGCAGCAAGUACCUCCAUCCGACAGAGGCGAGCACGGAGCGGCCUCUGUUCGUAGAGGACGCGGACAUGAACGGCUACUUCAGUGACGCGAGCAACGGUCUCGUGAGACGCGCCGGCCAACACAAGGACCCCCCUCCGACUUACAUGGCGCCCGUAGACAACAGACGGAAGUCACACACGGAGACGUCAGACGAGGGAGACAAGAAACACAAGAAACACACACACAAGAAGAAGAAAAAGUUUCCAGAAUGGCCACUGACGCUCCUGAAGAACUACUUCACGAUACUCUUGCGACGUGUCCUUGCGCCUGACGAGGUUACUGCCCUCCCGCGUGGUGGUCGACGCUAGAUGCAGAGGAUUCCUCAAUUACGAAAGGAUUCAAGUCACAGCUCACAGAGAGUUUAACACAAGUCUAAUGAAAAAACUACGUAUGCAAUAGAUUUGUCGCGAAGAAAAUAAUCAUCUAGAAAGAUACAACCCGUCCGCUCGAUCAACUUAUGAACCAACAACCUAAAAUAUACGGCAUGAUACAGGAGACUCUCAUUGGAGACCGUCACUGUCGCAAUUCUUUAGCGAUCUUCCAUCCCCCAUAGUAAAAGUCAUAAAAAACAUCACGGGAAGGAAGAAAAGAGGAAGCACUUCAACAGACUCGCUUCAACGGAGAUGGAUAAGAACACUGUGUCCCUGGAGGACAGUGCUGUUAAUAAGUGAUAUUGUCAUAUACAUUACUACCAAACAGUAAAUAAA